UUUGAAUGAAGUUUUCGGAUGGAUUUUGAGAUGACUGAGUGGCGGACGGGUGAGUAACACGUGGAUAACCUGCCUCACACUGGGGGACAACAGUUAGGAAUGACUGCUAAUACCGCAUAAGCGCACAGUACCGCAUGGUACAGUGUGAAAAACUCCGGUGGUGUGAGAUGGAUCCGCGUCUGAUUAGCCAGUUGGCGGGGUAACGGCCCACCAAAGCGACGAUCAGUAGCCGACCUGAGAGGGUGACCGGCCACAUUGGGACUGAGACACGGCCCAAACUCCUACGGGAGGCAGCAGUGGGGAAUAUUGCACAAUGGGCGAAAGCCUGAUGCAGCGACGCCGCGUGAGUGAAGAAGUAUUUCGGUAUGUAAAGCUCUAUCAGCAGGGAAGAUAAUGACGGUACCUGACUAAGAAGCCCCGGCUAACUACGUGCCAGCAGCCGCGGUAAUACGUAGGGGGCAAGCGUUAUCCGGAUUUACUGGGUGUAAAGGGAGCGUAGACGGCAUGGCAAGUCUGAAGUGAAAACCCAGGGCUCAACCCUGGGACUGCUUUGGAAACUGUCAAGCUAGAGUGCAGGAGAGGUAAGUGGAAUUCCUAGUGUAGCGGUGAAAUGCGUAGAUAUUAGGAGGAACACCAGUGGCGAAGGCGGCUUACUGGACUGUA
rnacentral:rRNA from 1 species